GAUGAACGCUAGCUACAGGCUUAACACAUGCAGGUCGAGGGACCGGCGCAAGGGUGAGUAACGCGUAUCCAACCUGCCCAUAAUUAGGGUAUAACCCGCAGAAAUGCGGACUAAUCCCCUAUGCUUAUGGCUUGGGAUGCGUCCGAUUAGGGUGUUGGGGAGGUAAUGGCUCACCAAGGCCUCGGUCGGUAGGGGUUCUGAGAGGAAGGCCCCCCAGAUGGGAACUGAGACACGGUCCUAAGUCCUACGGAAGGCGGCAGUGAGGGAUAUUGGUCGAUGAGCGGGGGCCUGAACCAGCCAGGUAGCGUGCAGGAUGACGGCCUAGGGGUUGUAAGCUGCUUUUAUGAGGGGUUAGGUACCGCAUGAUUAAGGACCAGCUAACACCGUGCCAGCAGCCGCGAUAAUUC
rnacentral:rRNA from 1 species